rnacentral:rRNA from 1 species
AGGACGAACGCUGGCGGCGUGCUUAACACAUGCAAGUCGAACGGAAAGGCCCGCUUGCGGGUACUCGAGUGGCGAACGGGUGAGUAACACGUGGGCAACCUGCCCUCAGCUUCGGGAUAACACUUGGAAACAGGUGCUAAUACCGGAUAAUAACCUUUCAUCGCAUGGUGGUGGGUUCAAAGUUUUUCGGUCUGAGGAUGGGCCCGCGGCCUAUCAGCUUGUUGGUGGGGUAAUGGCCUACCAAGGCGACGACGGGUAGCCGGCCUGAGAGGGCGACCGGCCACACUGGGACUGAGACACGGCCCAGACUCCUACGGGAGGCAGCAGUGGGGAAUAUUGCGCAAUGGGCGAAAGCCUGACGCAGCGACGCCGCGUGAGGGAUGACGGCCUUCGGGUUGUAAACCUCUUUCAGCUCUGACGAAGCGCAAGUGACGGUAGGAGCAGAAGAAGCACCGGCCAACUACGUGCCAGCAGCCGCGGUAA